rnacentral:lncRNA from 1 species
UUGCCGUCGCUUUCAAUCCUCCACCUUUUGCCGACGGCCGACUGUGCCGACCUCUCCUCUCCUCUUCUCUCAUCAUCGAUCGAUCUGGUCUCCGAUCCCUCUCCGCCUCUCUUUUCCGCUUCUGGAACUCUCUCUCUUGCCGUCGCCGACGCACUCUUGUUUCUUCGAAGUUUAUCUCUUCUUCCCUUCUAUUCCUUUCUCCUCCCAUGUCUAGUCCCACUCCUUGACCAGAACCCUAACCCUAAUUAACAUUUUUAUUGGCCAUUGCCUUCUCACCACUUUGUAUAUUACAUAGUAUUUUCGUU